UGGAGCUAAGCACAGUGCCUGGCCAUCCUCCAGUGACAGUGUUACAGGAAUAUACAAUCUUCAUUUUCACCAUAGCAGGAGUUAAAAUAUUAUAAAGUAGAAGAAAAAA